GACGUAGGGGGCGAGCGUUGUCCGGAAUUACUGGGCGUAAAGAGCACGUAGGCGGAUAACUAAGUCAGAUGUGAAAGACCGGGGCCCAACCCUGGGGUUGCAUCUGAAACUGGAUAUCUUGAGGGCAGGAGAGGGCAGUGGAAUUCCUGGUGUAGCGGUGAAAUGCGUAGAAAUCAGGAGGAACACCAGUGGCGAAGGCGGCUGCCUGGACUGACCCUGACGCUGAGGUGCGAAAGCGUGGGUAGCAAACAGGAUUAGAUACCCUGGUAGUCCACGCCGUAAACGAUGGAUACUAGGUGUGGGAGGUAUCGACCCCUUCCGUGCCGCAGCUAACGCAAUAAGUAUCCCGCCUGGGGAGUACGGUCGCAAGGCUGAA
rnacentral:rRNA from 1 species